CUUCCUGAUCUCGCUUAUUAGAAAGAACCUCUUUCCUCAAGGGGGCCCUUUGCCGGGUAGAGUUUGCGGUUGUUCCACUGUCCUACCUGGGGAGAGCUACUGUAACCUGUUUUGUUGAGUUGCCUCUUAGCUUGCCUCAAUGGUGUCAUUUUCUACAGCCAUUACAUUUUGCAAUCACCAUUUACUUAAUAAUGAUACCUUAAAGGGCCUACGAAAUGAUAUUUUGUCAGUGUUAUUGGCCUUGGUAUAUGAUAGAGGUUGCAUAUCUAUUGUGAAAUGUGCCAUAUAUAUAUUUUUAAUAUUGAUGUAUUCAUAAUAAAUCACGAUCAUAACAGCAUAAAAAUGACUUCCGCUAACAACAAUCGAUCGCUGCGCCGGGAACAUCCACUUCGGCAAUGUUCGGGCGAUGACGUCACAAGUAGAAUACAGCCGCCAUCAGUGUUCGUCUGCGUUACAGCCGCCGCCAGUGUUCGUCUGUGUUGAAGCGUCCAGCAAAAACUGCUGUCAAUUAUUACGAGAAAGAACAGACAACAAUCGAUCGCCAAGGAUAAUUGUGAAGCGAUGUGUUGUAUGGGGAUGUGUACUGUUUCAUUUAUUUAUUGUUUCAAACAUAAAGCCAUAAUCGGUCUAGGCCUACUGUAUGUAACGAGUUUACCCCAGGCCCUAGCCAAUAUCUGUGUGUUAUUGUUUGUAGUAUUAAUAACUUUAGCUAAUUACACUUCAUUAGCUUAAUUAAGUAUAGAUUCAAUGUUUAUAACAGGCUUCCCCAUUUUAUUCUGUAGUUUGAAUAAAAGCUUGAGUCUAUUUAACUUUUAACUAUCACCCUAUUAUUACAGAGGUAUUGAAACAUUGGUGAAUGAAGCCACUGACAGAACUGAGGAUACCUGUAUGAUCAGCGACCAUCUAUUGGACAUCCACACUGGGGAGGAAGAUAUGUGUACACCAACAUGUCACAAAGAAAUUGCUGUGCAGACGGAUCCACGGACACACCACAAGUCCAUGCAGGCGCGACCACGUGUCAGGUCAGCUGGACUGCAAGUUCCAAUCCAAGUUGGUUGUUCCAAAGGUCAGCAUCAUAAUAUAUAUACACACACAUACAUACAUAUUAUAUAUAAUGCUUGAUUAUAAAACAUCUUUUUUGCAGAGUAUGUUACUGAACUCUUGACCGAAACUCAAUGCUUUGUGCCAAGACAAUGUUGAUGAGGAACCUUUCGAAGUCCCAGUUCCACUCAGCAGUCGGUGGAAGAACCAAACAAGAGGGAUGCAGCUGUGCUGUAUAGAAGCAGAUUCAAUCACUGAACUGACAUUGUGUUUUGUUAUUGACUCUAAUAAAGUGCUGAUACUUGAACGAUAUGUAGUUGUCAGAUGGAAACGUAGCACAGAUCUUUUGAAUGGCACAUGAUGGCAUUCUGUGGUUCUUACCAAGUAUGUGG
rnacentral:lncRNA from 1 species